rnacentral:misc_RNA from 1 species
GAGAAGUUGAAAAUGGCAGGCGUGAAGUCUAACAAUGCUCCUUAUUUAAAACUUCAUUUCUUUUAAAUUAAGUGAACAUAAUUGUCAGCAUGUAUUGUCAUUCCAACCCUCCCCCCAAACCCCACCCUUUUGGAUGAGUAAAAGGUUUUCUCCACCUUUUCAGCUUAUUUGCUGCUCAUGGGACCAUAGAUUAAAAAGCCAUAAGACCACAAAUAAAGCUCCUCUAUGUAUUAGAGCAAAAAAGCCAUAGACCAUAGAUUAAAAAUGAAACAAGCAACAUACCAGUUCAUUCUGAUUUUGAAA